CAGUAGCCACGGUAAUACGGAGGGAGCUAGCGUUGUUCGGAAUCACUGGGCGUAAAGCGCACGUAGGCGGCUAUUCAAGUCAGGGGUGAAAGCCCGGGGCUCAACCCCGGAACUGCCUUUGAAACUAGAUAGCUUGAAUCUUGGAGAGGCGAGUGGAAUUCCGAGUGUAGAGGUGAAAUUCGUAGAUAUUCGGAAGAACACCAGUGGCGAAGGCGACUCGCUGGACAAGUAUUGACGCUGAGGUGCGAAAGCGUGGGGAGCAAACAGGAUUAGAUACCCCGGUAGUCCCUGUCUCUUAUAC
rnacentral:rRNA from 1 species